rnacentral:rRNA from 1 species
ACGGAAGGCAGCGGUGAGGAAUAUUGGUCAAUGGACGGAAGUCCGAACCAGCCAAGUCGCGUGGAGGAUGAAGGUAUUAUGUAUUGUAAACUUCUUUAGCAGUGGAGUAAUAAGGGGAUCGCGAUCCCUGAUGCAAGUACACUGAGAAUAAGGAUCGGCUAACUCCGUGCCAGCAGCCGCGGUAAUACGGAGGAUCCGAGCGUUAUCCGGAUUUAUUGGGUUUAAAGGGUGCGCAGGCGGCUUUUUAAGUCAGUGGUUAAAUCGUGACGCUCAACGUCAUCACGCCAUUGAUACUGGAGAGCUUGAUUGCGGUCGAGGUUUGCGGAAUUCGUUGUGUAGCGGUGAAAUGCAUAGAUAUGACGAAGAACACCGAUUGCGUAGGCAGCAGACCAGGCCGUAAAUGACGCUCAUGCACGAAAGUGCGGGGAUCGAACAGGAUUAGAUACCCUGGUA